UAGCGAGACAGUGAAUACAAUGAAACACAUAGAAUACAGCGGGAUACAUUGAAAUAUAAUGAGAAAAAAGUCACUGAUUACAAUGAAAUACAUGGAAUACAACGAGAUACAUUGAAUUACAAUGAAAAAAAAGAUAGUGAAUACAAUGAAAUACAGCGAGAUAUAUUGAAAUGCUCUUAAAAAAAAGUUAACAGAAUCUUCAAAUUGCUCAACCCCAAACUUCAAACGACCUAUUUUAGUCGACGAUUAUCCGGCGACCCAUAGGAUUCCGACCAUGAUUCCAUAAGCAGCGAUGAGAGAAAGAAGAAGAAAAUGAGAAAGAUUGCUGAAGAAGAAAUUGCUAGCAUCCGUAACGUAUAUGAAGAAGUUAAAGUCCCAGAACUGAAUUUGGCUAGCACCCGCUGGUAAUGAAUCGGAAGAAAUUACUAGCACCCACUGAAGAAGAAAUUGCCAAGAAGUUAAAGUCCCAAAAAAUUCCUUGCCAUGGAAAGGAAGAAGAAGAAGAAACAUACUGGCAGAAGAAAACAAUCAAAAUCGGAAAGGAAGAAGAAGAAGAAGAAACAUACUAGAGUUGGCCAUGGAGAUUUCAUUGCCUUCAUUAGGGUCAAGCCAGGGAGGCAGCGUAUAUUAUGUGAGAGAGGGCAGCGUAUUUUAUGACUUAAGGGUAGGAGGUGACCA
rnacentral:lncRNA from 1 species